rnacentral:lncRNA from 1 species
CUUACAAAAAAAAAUGAGAAAGCAGGUUACAGCAGUGUUUUUCUCUUACGUGGGCCGUUCGAUAGAGAUUUAUUACAAGCCUUUGUAUGGCACGCUGGGGCACUUUCUGGAUUGCUUCAAUACAUCUGCUGUAUAACUCUGCACUGGAAGCCUUACACAUCACAAACUGCUGCCUUUGAUUCUGCACUCACAAUACUCCACAAGAUGCUGUGCUGUACCAGAAGCGAGCUGCAGCAUUAGGUACAACUUAUUCUACUGCAGGGGAAAAGAAGUUUUAAAGUAUAGCAGUUCUUAAUAUAUACAGACACUUCCAUUUAAAUCUCUCUAUUUUCUUCCACUCGAGUGCCAAAACAGUCACUGCUCACACAGGCUGUCAACAGACUUUGAAACACGAACUUUGAGCGUCUCGACAAAACCCCAGUAAGUAAGCUUAUUGUAGUUCAUAGUUACAGUGAGAAAGACAGAUAAGAAAGCCAUAUACAGAAUUAAGGAGACUUUGCACUUUUCAUCAUGCCCAGCCCUGGGUAGUUCAGAUGGGGUACUUGCAGGCAAGCAGGCAGGCAGGGUCAUCGUCAGUUGUGUUGGGACACCUCAAAGAUUUCACUGCUCACUCUGAAGACUGGCGAUUCAUGUGUGCUUUUUAGUUUCUUUGUUUUUAAAAGUCUUUAAAGUUGCAUCACUCGGAAUCAGAUAAGUCAAAGGGUCCGUAUCUGGUCUCGUAUUUAGAAACAAUGUUCUUGCAUCGCCCCACUUCCUUGCGCAGCUCUGCAACCUCCGUCCUCAGGGCCGUAUUCUCUUUCUCAAGGAAGGCUGCCCGAAUUGUGAUCUGAUUCUCCUUUAAUCGCCGAGCAUCACGGGAACGCUUUGCUGCCACAUUGUUCUUCUUUCGCCUUGUCCAG